UGGUAAGGCAGUAUGUGAUGGUGUGCAAUUUUUCAGACAGUCAACCUAUUUUGAAGGUACAUUACUGAAUUUGCACAUCAUCAGAAAAUCACUGAGUUGUAUUGGUCCAGCUGAAUUUCUGCUUGACCUCAGAAGGCAGUCUAGCUCUUAACAGCAGCUGAGCUAGACGACAUGGUCACUGAUGAAAAGUGAUCGUCUUAAAUUUUGCAGAAGUCAAAGGCUUCUCACUCUGAAGAGCGUGAACUCAGCAAGUCCUGAGAAACCGUGGCAACCACCAGUCAAACUCCAGCCCACAACUUCCACUGAGUGCAAAACUCAUCAAGAGUAUGGUUGGAAGGCUCUUUGUUCGUGAAGCCAAAAGAUUUACGCUGCCAAGAGUCUCUCUCUGCUAUGAAGGAGCAUACUGCUGCAUUCAAUCACACUUGAACCUGAAGAUCUAGGACAGCCUUAACAGGAAAAAGCAAAAGAGAAACAUGACACGAGGUCAGUUUUGACAGCUUAAAACUGUGGUAUCCGAAAAACCAAUAGGAUCACAUGAUUUCUUGGAACAUACAAUGGAUUAUAGGAUAAUACAGCCUGCAGGCACUCUGUUUGGAUAUAUGCCCAAGACAGACAACAAACAGCAUAUGCUCAAGUACAGGGACAUCAGGGUAAUGGAAUAUAAAAUAGUUGUGUGCUCAUCAUGAGAUGUGGGAAAGCAGCCAGGGGCCUGUAUUCCCAAGGGCCAUUUCUAAGGGCUGGUGUCUGAUACUCGGUAUUUGGUACUAGGCCUCCUUAUGUUGUUUUCAUAUGUCAUUGAGUAUGCAGUACUAGCAAGCAGAGAGGUGUCAGAUCACCUUCAAGCACCAAGCACUCCUGUCACAAGUAAACAAUGAGAGAUAUUAAGGACUAAUAAAUCUUCAUGAUGGAUCA
rnacentral:lncRNA from 1 species